UAUAAUAGACAAAAGGUAAAUGAAAGAAGAAAACUUUGCGGUGAAAGUUACAAAAUGAGUUGUUGGAUACGCUAAUCUAUUUAUUGUGCUAUAGUAAGAUCGAAGCAUAUUCAAAAUGUCUCUUGACCCUCAAAAUUUUGAAACAAGAUGUAAGCAGCAAAAAACUGGUUGUUUCUUGUCGUCUUUGUACAUAAACCGAAUGUGACUACAACCACUUGAGCGGGUACCUCAACUUUCACCUGCGCCACCUCCUCCUGGUCUAAUGAGGCCUCGUCCUCUUUCUCCGACAUGUACUCAUGUAUGUCUAAAAACUUGGUGAGUUUUGAAUCUUGGUCCAUUUAUUGUUUCGAGCUUCAUCGAGUAAACUUUGGCCAACCUUUUCAUCGAGUCUGAAACCAAACCUGACAUGUAUCUUCCAAUUUUGCAAACAGGCUUCUCAUUGAACCACAAGUUAAAGUAAGCUACUGCCCAAAUUUGAGAU
rnacentral:lncRNA from 1 species